UUGGUUGUGAUGAUUAUAAAAAUUCCUCGUACUGAAUGCCAUUGGCAUGACAGACACUUUACACCCAUAGAAUAUGAGCAUCC